AACGAACGCUGGCGGCAUGCCUAACACGUGCAAGUCGAACGAUGCCUUCGGGCAUAGUGGCGCACGGGUGCGUAACGCGUGGGAAUCUGCCUUUCGGUUCGGAAUAACUCAGGGAAACUUGAGCUAAUACCGGAUAACGUCGCAAGACCAAAGAUUUAUCACCGAAAGAUGAGCCCGCGUAGGAUUAGCUAGUUGGUGAGGUAAAGGCUCACCAAGGCGACGAUCCUUAGCUGGUCUGAGAGGAUGAUCAGCCACACUGGGACUGAGACACGGCCCAGACUCCUACGGGAGGCAGCAGUGGGGAAUAUUGGACAAUGGGCGAAAGCCUGAUCCAGCAAUGCCGCGUGAGUGAUGAAGGCCUUAGGGUUGUAAAGCUCUUUUACCCGGGAAGAUAAUGACGGUACCGGGAGAAUAAGCCCCGGCUAACUCCGUG
rnacentral:rRNA from 1 species